rnacentral:rRNA from 1 species
CGGCCUUCGGGUUGUAAACUGCUGUUAUAAGGGAAGAAAAAAUCAUAGAGGAAAUGCUAUGAUCUUGACGGUACCUUGUCAGAAAGCAACGGCUAACUAUGUGCCAGCAGCCGCGGUAAUACAUAGGUUGCAAGCGUUAUCCGGAAUUAUUGGGCGUAAAGCGUCUGUAGGUUGUUUGUUAAGUCUGGGGUGAAAACUUGGGGCUCAACCCCAAAUUGCAUUGGAUACUGGCAAACUAGAGUUAUGUAGAGGUAAGCGGAAUUCCU